UUCGACUGAGUGACCUAUCAGCUUGUACUUAGGGUCUUUACCUAGGUAGGCUAUCACGGGUAACGGGCGGUUACCGUCGGACUGCCGGAGAAGGCGCCUGAGAGAUAGCGACUAUAUCCACGGGUAGCAGCAGGCGCGAAACUUUCCCACUCGAGACUUUCGGAGGAGGUAAUGACCAGUUUCAUGUGAAGCUUAUGCUUCUGUGAAUAGGAUCACACUUUUCCAGUGUGGUGAAACCUAGCAGAGGGCCAGUCUGGUGCCAGCAGCUGCGGUAAUUCCAGCUCUGCGAGUUUGCUCCCAUAUUGUUGCAGUUAAAACGCCCGUAGUCGGAAUUGGACAGCAAUGUCCCUACGUUUCAACGUUCACUGUGAACAAAUCAGGACGCUUAGAGUAUGGUAACAAGAAUGACUCAGCGCAGUAUGAAGUCUUUGUUUCUUUCGGGAAACAAGCUCAAUGAGAGCCAUCGGGGGUGGAUCUAUUUCAUGGCGAGUGGUGGAAUACUUUGACCCAUGAGAGAGACACGGAGGCGAAGGCGUCCACCUAGAGGGUUUCUGUCGAUCAAGGGCGAGAGUAGGAGUAUCCAACCGGACUAGAGACCCGGGUAGUUCCUACUGUAAACGAUGCCGACAG
rnacentral:rRNA from 1 species